AGACCUGUACCAGGAGCGACUGGGUGGGCCCCAUUCAGGACGAGCGGGCCAUCGCGGUUUACCACUACCGCAACAACGAGUGGCAGUCCUUCCUCACGCCCGACAGCAUCACCAAGAUGAUGCGACUGGCCCUCAAGGUAAACCCGAGCGUGUGCGUGGCGGCCUACUACGUGGACUACGAGGAUUACCAGGGCAUGUGCAAGCUCAACCAGACAUUCCCACGACUCACGGCAGUGCGACACGUGCUCGAUCAAGUCAGGACACGCUGACCGCCAUCCGUCACUCAAGUGCACCUCAUCGUUCAUCACGGCCAAUGCUUGAAAUGAAGAUGCUUGCAUAUCUUU